CCGUCAAGAUUCCUCUCUCUGAGGCGCCUACUAAUUAAUUAUUAUCUCUGUAGUGCCUCGCAGCCCCGGUCAAGGAUCAGGGCUUCAUUGUGCUAGGGGACGAGAGAAAGAACAAACCACACGUGACAGAAGCGGGCCACAUUGCUUAAUGUGUGACUGGAAGGCGCUCCGAUCGUCCGGGGAUGGGUGCGGUAUAAGAACCUGGAUAGAACAGCAUUGUGCAAGGCGCUGUACGCAUAACACAAAGACAGUCCCUGCUCCACAGAGCUGGUCGUCUAAAGAGGCUUUUCCGAUGGGGUGAAAAGCUGAGCGCCUGCCUUUUUUCCUCCUCCCCGCCCCCUUGUCUCACUCGGUGAUGUCUGAGCUCUGACUAUUCUGAGUCCAUGCUGCAAACCCUGCGGGACCCUCCCUGGCAGCCCUUCCAAGCCGGGCUACCCUUCCAUGGCUGAAUGACUAAACUCUCCCAAACCAGCUUUCCAAGCAAAUUGCCUCCGGCCCCAAAUCCGCAGCGCGGCUACAUUUGCCAUGUGACUGAGUGGGUUGACACCUAGCGGAUGCUUGGCGGGAUUACGCUUGGCCUCCAGUGUUAUUCAAGCCUGCGCUGGCGAGAGGGAGCCCGGGUUUGGGAGGAUCAUCUUUCUCCUGAGCCUGGUGUUGCGAGGACUGCCAGAGGAUUACGAGCUAGAGGAGGAGGAUUUACACUCCAAACCCCACCACGCCUGGCUGCGACCCCGCAAAGGGACCUUGAAUGGAGAAGCCAUCCUGCGGGGCUCAUGUCACUAGUCGCUUGUUCUGGAACCAGACCCGGAUGACGCGGGAGCUGAGGCCGGUCAGCCGCACCAGCUGCUCCUUCAGCCCGGCGUCGGGGCGAGGGUUGGCCGCAUAGCAGGCGCUCAGGGCCUGGAGCUGCUGCUCGUUCAGGACGGUGCGGACGCGGGCCAGCUUCCCUGAGCCGCCCUGGGCCCCGGGGACGCUCGAGCCCAUCGCUGGGGGCAGGGAAAGAGGCAGGACGUUAGACCCCAGCAGGAUGGGCUCGGCGAAACACCAGGCAGUGGGGCACGUUGGCACACUGGAACUCGGCGUGGGCCAGGGGACUGGGAGUGGGCUCUUCCUUCCCUCUCAGGGGCUAGUUCAAAUCGGGAUGGCAGAGAUUGGAAGCUGUUGACCAGCUCCUGCGUGAAAUACCCGCCUGGUCGCAUGGUUCCCCCGCCCCCGCGGCAGUGUGUGCAGACGGUGCUUGCACCAUGGGGGAAUGACCAGUGAGGCAACCCCCCUGCCUUGCCCUUAACUGGGUUUGGCCUGGGGCUCCCCAGGAGCAGCCAGGCUCUGCCUGGGUAGCUCAGCAUGGGGUUGUACCAAGGCUGCUUCUCGUGCUCCCCACAGGGAGCCCCCUUCCGUGCAAGCGACCCGGCCCAGAGCUUACCUGACCGGUGCCACUUGGUCCAUGCUGAUACUGGCCUCUCCGGCCCCGCCCCUUCCUGCCCAGGCCACUGGUGCAUGGAGCAGUACAACCCGUCCUGCCACAGAGCGAACUGCUCGCCGGGCAGCAGCCGGCGUUGGCAGUGGGAGCAGCGGAAGCAGGCCUGGUGGUAUACAGCCCCUCGUGCCCGCAACACCAGGUCAGAGGGCAGCAAGGUCUCCCGGCAGCGGGCGCAUCUCAUGGAGAACAGCCUGUAGGGGAGGGGGGGCAGAGAAAAGGGGAUGCUCAGACAGAUGGGCAUGGGGUGUAUAGGAGGAGGGAUCUCACUAGAGCAAGCCUGGCAUGGAUGGGCAUGGCUGGGGGAGCCCCUUACCCAAACCUGGCAUGGAUAGGCAUGGGGUGGGGAGGGAGCCCAUUACAGCUACUCCAGCUGGACAAGGGGCAAAAAUCCAGCUGCUUAGCCGGUGUAAAUGGGCCUUGUUCCCUUGAUAGCUGUAGAGUCAGGGUGAUUUAGACCAGCCCUUUCUGGGUCCUGCCCACAUCCCAUGGGCCUCACGCAGGCUGGCUUCGAGAGGAGCCCCAGGCCAGUGGUCACCCAGCCUCUGACCAUCCUGCAGCACCCGUGCAAGGUGAGUGGGGGUUUUUUUUUGGUUUGGUUUUGUUCCUGUUGCAAACCAGCGUGGGAAGGCACUGGCCCAGGUGCAACGAGUUGGCCGGUUCUCGGCCGCCUAAUCGAUGUCGGACAUCCGCCGGCCGUGAUUGCUCAGUGCCGCAGCGUGGGAACCACCAACAGGGGGCGCCAUGGGCGGCAGCCGCCGCCACGCGCACUGAGCUCCUCUCUCGCCCCUGCGGCCGGCCCCAGUGGGGUUGGGGCGGAGACGCGGCCCUGGGGCCGCUCAGCCAGCCGCUACCCAGCAUGCGCCGGUCGGUGGGUCAACGUGGGGCUUUGUCGCCCCCUAGUGGCUGCUCCACGGAGAGGUUAAAAGGAGCCGGCCGCGGGGCGGAGUCCCUGGGCCGGAGCAGGAGGCCCCGGGCUCAGUCCCCACCGCGAGGCGGGGCCUUACCUGAGGUAGUCGGCUCGGCAGUAAACGCUGCCGUCGCGCAGGAAGCAGGUGGGGCUGUGGGCCAGGCUGAGCCGGCAGCAGCUGCAGCGGAGGCAGCCCACGUGCCACUCUGUGUCGGGCGCCACGCGGAGCAGGAAGGGGCCUCUGAUCUUCCCCCCGCAGCCAGCGCACGCCGGCCUGGCACCUAGAGAGAACGGCACCGGAGCCCGCACUCAGCAGCCACGCCCCACCAGAACCUGGGCGCCGGCGGGUCCAGCAGAGAGCAGGGCCGCCUUGCGCUAGGCGUUGCAUGGACGCAGACCGAGAGAGGGCCCCUCUAUGGCCGCAUCUGGUCGCCUCUCUUUAUCCUUAACCACGAGACCCUCCUGCCUCUCCACAAGGCAGGACCAGGGGGGAUCGGGCCAAGAGGCGAGAGGAGCCCCCCGAACGGCCGCCCGAGCUGUCUCCCUCUGGAAGAAGAUGGAUUCACGGCUCUUUAUGAACAGGUUUGGGAAGAAGCUGCUGGCCGAAUCCCAUCACAGCUUGGCCGUCACUGGGAAUCGUGACCAGUUGGGGGUGCCGUGGCAUGAGUUUGCUGGGCCUCAUCGCCGUUCCUAGUGGACAGGCGUCCCCGUCACCUAUGCCUGGCGCUGCCUGGCCCCUUGGUGAUGCUCUGGGGGUCUUGGAGGUGGAGCUGCUUUCCCCUGCCUAGCGGGGCUGAGUCUCAACAGCAGGGGGAAACUGGCUCUGGGCUGCACCUGCCCUGUGACCCCUUGCUGUGGGGUAGGGGUGGGAUCAGACCUGGCCCCUGUCUGCUCUCCCAGCUGCUGCUUAAAAGCGGGGUGUUUCCUCCCUGUGGCUUGGGGGACCGGAGGCCAGAACGCAACCACCUCUGUGCCGUACGGAGCCGAUUCCCAGCCACACAAUCCCUCCCCAUGGUCAUUAUCAGGGUUACUUACCCUGGGAGCCUUGCCCACGGCCGGGCACACAGACCCUCUGUCCUGCCCUCCGCUCCUCCUUCCCAGAGAAGUGGGCUCGCUCUGGCCCCCCUUCCAUGAGGCUGGCUCCCUGCCCUCUCCUCUAGGCUUCUUCCUCUCCUGCCUCCAUCCCCUCUUCCCUUCUCUCUCUUCCACCUUCUCUCCUUCCUUUUCCUCAGCCCUCUCUGCUUCUCCUGCCUUUGGCCUCUUCCUUCCCUCUCUUCGGCUUUGCCCUUCACUUUCUCUGGCUCAGCCUGGCUCUUUCUCCUGUCUCAUUCCCUGAUCUUCUCCCGUCUCUGUACAAUCUCGCUCCCUGAGAGUCCAUGGGGGGCCAGCCCCCCUUUAUACCCACUCGGCCCCCAUCUGUUAGGUUAAUUCCCUGACAGGCCGCCCGCCCCUUCAUUAAGGAGACGCCACGAGCUGCCUCCCUCUUAGGAAAAUUACCCUUCACGCGGCACAAACGUCACUCCCCUUCCCCCCGCUGCACCGCCAGCCUUACUCCUUGCGCUCUGUUCUAGAAACCCCCGGCCCAGCGCUUUGACUCCUCUUGCUGCCAGCCUUGGGCCAGCUUUCCUGCUAGUGCCAGGCGGCCCCGCUGAUGUCAAUGCAGUGCCGUCGAUUCACAGCCACCGAGGCGCUCUUGAACAGUGCCUCACACCCCCAAGGUCGUUUUCGGUGGCCACAGUGACACUGCUCCAGAGGAAGACCACAACCUUGACUGUAAGCUACCACACAGUCCAAGCUCCCUUCGCCUCCCCUGGUUCAGAGUUGGUUCCCCACUGCACCCAUCGCCAUGGUGUAUGAACAACUGCUUCCCUCACCCCCCGAACCAGGAACUCCCCCAGAGGAGACAGAUGUGGAGCCCCAUUUUAUGGGCCUAGGGAAGAAAUAGAGAGAGAACCAUAAAAUACAAUGAGAGGGAUGCUGACAUGACAGCCAUGGCUGCAGACAGGACCCAGAUCCAACAUAAAACCAGCCUAAAUCCAUCCCAAUGGGUCCUUUACCGUGUGGCUGGGAGGUAGGUAAAGUGGCCUGAAUUUCAACAGUGACCAAUACCCAGCAGCUCCCACUGCCAGCAAUGCUGAGCACUCCUGGAAAUCCACCUGUUUCGCUGAGGUGCCUAACUGGGAACUGAACUGUUUGGCAAGUCUGGUCGGGCCCAUGCUAGUCUGUGGGCCUGAGCCUCUUGGCUUUGAAGCAGGCCAGCUUUUUGUUCUGAUUCAGUCUUCCUGUUUUAGCUGUCUCUUUCCCCUCCGUCAUUCCCCUGCUUGGUAAUGUGGCUUAUCUUGCAGCAGAGACAAGGCAGGAGAAGGCUGUAGUGAAUAUAAAGGGGAUUCUUUACAGAGGCUGCUGGAUGGAGACAGACCCUGGGGCUCUCUCUGGCUGCUGGCUUACAGGGGCUCCCUAAAUCCUGCCCUGGAUCCUGCAGUCGUGGACUGGACAACAGAAUCUAAAGCCUGGGUCCCAGGGCAGAAGAGAGGGUGGGUGGCUGACAUGGUCCAUUUGGGGGUGUCGCUGGUCCAUUUGGGGGUGUCGCUGGUAACUAGCUGAUGACGCCCAUGCGGGUGACCUGAUUGCAAUGGAACAGAAUCCAGAUCAUGCCCUGAACUUUAGGGGUGCAGGGGACAGAGCUGGGGUGAUCCUAGCCCUUCCCCUAGAAUUUACCAUGGAUGAUCCAGGACAAAGCAAAGGUGGGGGAAGUGACAAGUGGGUCUUUUGUCUCUGCUUUUGCUUUUUCCAGCCCCCUGGGGUGAUGGAAAGAGUCCAAAUUAGAGCCUUGAAGGGCGUCUCUCCCCUUUGAUUAAAGGCACCGUCAGGCCGGUCAUGGUGAUUAAUAUAAAUAAAUAAUGGGGCGCUCUCUUUGCCUUGCAAAUUAAAACCACGCCUCAGCCCCUCCUGCCUUUAUUGGAAUUAGGCAAAGCAAGAAGUGGAUUGGGGAGGUGGGGGACGGACACAGAGCCUUAAAGUACAGGAGAAAAUUACUAGUGUCCUCUCUCUGCUCAUUAGCAUAUGCAUCCAUCACCCAAGCGGGCACAAAUCCCAGCCUGCUCUUAAUUACCUGGUCUGUGCUGGGUGGUGGGGGGAGAUGGAGGAGGGCGGGGAGAAUGUCCGUUGCUUGUUACAGA